rnacentral:tRNA from 1 species
AACUUGAAAGGCAAAAUG